UACAGAGGUCGUCAAGCGUUGUUCGGAUUCAUUGGGCGUAAAGGGUGCGUAGGCGGCGCGGUAAGUCGGGUGUGAAAUCUUGGAGCUUAACUCCGAAACUGCAUUCGAUACUGCCGUGCUUGAGGACUGGAGAGGAGACUGGAAUUUACGGUGUAGCGGUGAAAUGCGCAGAUAUCAGGAGGAACACCGAUAGCGAAGGCAGCUCGCUGGGACGGUACUGACGCUGAGGCGCGAAAGCGUGGGGAGCGAACAGG
rnacentral:rRNA from 1 species